AUGCACAUGCUCAGUAAACUGGUUACUUUGAGUACUCUGUACUGUUUGUGUAAUCCUUUCUUCUUAGGGGUCAGAAUACUAGAAAGGAAAUAGAUCUGACUAGUCACCGAUAGAUGAAGUCAAUUACAAGCACAAAAAGAGAGAACUGAUUUAUAUAUACUUUGACUGACAUACAAGACUUAUUUAUAGUAUUUUUUGAUCACCUGUUGUACUGAAACACUAAUUUUUGCAAACAAGUAGGAUAAGAUAUUUGACAAAAGUGAAUACGAUAACAUUUGUGUCAAAAUGACAUGAAGCGAAGCGAAAGUCACUCAGUGACAUAGCUUGAUGAAAAGAUAGGGUUCAACAUUUUGGCCCAAAUGUUUGUUUUUCACUGGAUUCUGAAUAUAGCAAAUUCAAAAGUACCCUUUUUGGACUUUCUUAAUAAAGCACCAUGUAAAAAGAAACUGCAUUUUAAGUCAGACAGUAAAUGGUUUUAAUUUACAGCAAAUGAAGCAGUUUUAUUAGCACAUUACAGUAUUUCCAAAUCGACUUCUGUAUUAUACUUUGAUAGCUUUCCUUCAGAAAACUCUGAGGGUGUAUUUGCAAUAAUAAUGAAGCCAGCAUUUAGUACCAGCACAUGGUUCACAUGCAAAUAAUACUUUCCCGAUUUCCAAGUUACACUACUAUCUUAUUGCUAUGAUUCCUACACCCCCACCAGCAGAAUUCUUCUAGGGUGGAGGAACUAAUCAGCUUGUUCUGCAUUUCCAAAGCCAGCUUGUGAAUCCUGGAGGAAAGGAGUUAGUUCAUUUACUAUUCUGUUUGGGACAGAAGUGAUUCCACUUUUCCACUUGGACAUACUAUUUAAAGGAUUUUUCUUCUUAAAAUUCUUGGAACACCUAAGAGAUUUAAGGGCAUGUUGGUUUUGUUUUGUUUGCUCCGUUUGUAAUCCAUGUGCAAAUAAAACUGCUUCUCUCUUACACUGCUUGAACUAGAAAAAGUAAGGUGUUUAGUGUAGGUUACUGCUAACUAAUAAGCACAAA
rnacentral:lncRNA from 1 species